rnacentral:rRNA from 1 species
UCAUGCGAGUCGAACGAGAAAGUCACCUUCGGGUGACGAGUACAGUGGCGAACGGGUGAGUAACACGUGGGCAAUCUGCCCCUAGGUUUGGGAUAACACUUCCAACGAGGUGCUAAUACCGAAUGACAAGGCGAGUUGAUGACUCGUUUUUAAAGGUGGCCUCUACUUGUAAGCUGCCGCCUAGGGAUGGGCCCGCGUCGUAUUAGCUUGUUGGUAGGGUAACGGCCUACCAAGGCGACGAUGCGUAGCCGGCCUGAGAGGGUGAACGGCCACACUGGCACUGAGAUAAGGGCCAGUCUCCUACGGGAGCCAGCAGUCUAGAAAUUUGCACAAUCGCCGAAAGGCGGAUGCAGCGACACCACGUGGAGGAUGAAGCCCCUCGGGGUGUAAACUCCUGUCAGAAGGGAAGAAGGCGCGGGCGUUAAUACCGCUCGUUGCUUGACGGUACCUUCAGAGGAAGCUCCGGCUAACUACGUGCCAGCAGCCGCGGUAAUACGUAGGGAGCGAGCGUUGUUCGGAUUUACUGGGCGUAAAGGGCACGUAGGCGGGUAUGCAAGUCGGUUGUGAAAUCCUCUGGCUCAACCAGAGAACUGCAGCCGAAACUGCACACCUUGAGUCCAGCAGAGGGAAUCGGAAUCCCAGGUGUAGCGGUGAAAUGCGUAGAUAUCUGGGAGAACAUCAGUGGCGAAGGCGGAUUCCUGGGCUGGUACUGACGCUGAGGUGCGAAAGCUAAGGGAGCGAACAGGAUUAGAUACCCUGGUAGUCUUAGCCGUAAACGAUGGGUACUAGGUGUUGGGGGACAUUGACCCCCUCAGUGCCGUAGCUAACGCAUUAAGUACCCCGCCUGGGGAGUACGGCCGCAAGGCUGAAACUCAAAGGAAUUGACGGGGACCCGCACA